AUCUUGAAAACGGAAAAUAAAAACAGCAGACCUAUGAAGGUCGAAGGGGAAGAAAAGCUGUAUCGAUUGUUGAGAUCUGGCGACUUGUUUAAAUUUCAUCAGCCUCACUUCUAUGAACUCUCAGGCCUCACGUGUACCAGCUCUCUGCUCUCCUUUGCCUUGGGACGUUCCAUCCCUGGAAGUUUCCCUGCCCACAUCUUUGUAGAGAGUCCAUUCUCCAAGCUUCAGUGUGUCAUCUGUGAGGACCGUGACCCACCUGGUACAUCGCCUCAGGGCAUUCAUUUCAGGCUCCUUCUAAAUGGCCAAGAGACAACACCAACAUUUUUGUAAUGGCCUGCAAGGCCUUCCGAGAUCUACCUCCUGCAACUCAGCUUCUCCUGUGCUCUCCUUCUGGACUCACUCUGCCUCAGCAACACUGGUCCCUGUUGCCCCACCAAUAUGCCAGGCCAUGAGAGAAGCAGUACCUUAUAAUGGUUCCUUGUUCAAAGCACUCAAUAUUCCUAGGAUGUGGUCUCCCAGCUGACUUCAUAACUGAAUCAUCAGUAAUUAAUUUCAUUGUUCUAUUAGGACUUUACUGAAGACUCUAAGGAGGACCUGUAUCUGUUGGGAUCCUCAGGGCAAGCCACAGAAACAAGCUUUGGAUACUAGAAGCAGAAAAUGGAGAUAUUGAAGACUAUUGUGGAGUUUACUGUGAGCCAGAGAACCAGGCUGGGGGGCUGUAUCACUUAGAAUGAGAUCCAAACUCACACCAUAGUUCCAUCCUUGAGGUUGCCAUGUUGCUGCCACCCCUCCUGCCACCCCACCACUGAAGCUUUGGAUGCUGGAUUCUGGGCACAGCAGGGAGAAGUGUUGCUUAUUACCAUUUUAGUAUGUUUUCUUUCAAGACCUUUUCAAAAUAUACAUACGUAUUUUUAUUUCUAUUCAAAAUGGGAUACAUUUUUGAAGGUUAGCAAUAUAUUGUGAACAUUUUCUUUCCAUGCUCAGAAACAUUUUUCUAUAAUGUAAUUUAUAGUGAUAUAAACUAUCUCAUAGACCUACCAUAGUUUACCUAACAAAUCCCAAAUCAUUUGUGCCAUUUCUAAAUUUUUAUUAUUUUAUGUAAUGCUUUAAUGAACAUCCUUGCAUUUAUAUUUUAUACAAUUUUAGAAGUGGAAUUACUGGUUCAAAAUACAUGGUGAUUUUUAAUUCUUCUGUUGAAUAUUGACAAAUUGCAAUCCUGAGAGUUAUCUUGAAGGAUAGAGUACAUGCCCAGGGUUCUUUUUUAAGAAAUAAUUUGUAAUGUGAAACAGAAUAGGCUAAAUGUUUUUUAUUCUCUUAGUCCUACUCUGUCAUUCUGCAGAGUUUCACUUAUUUGGAUUCAAAUUCUAAUUCCAGCCUACCUCUCUUUUUAUAUAAUUGUUAGGAGGAUUAAAUUAGAUGCAUAAAAUUGCUGCUUACUACAUACAUUGCACAAACUAAAAACUUUUCAAAGGUUAACUGUUUUUCUGGUUUAUUUUUAAGACACAGGUUCUUGCUCUGUUGCCCAGGCUGGAGUGCAGUGGUGUGAUCACGGCUCACUAUAGCCUCAUCCUGCUGCACUGAAGUGAUCCUCUUGCCUCAGCCUCCUGAGUAGCUAGGACUACAGGCACGUGCCACCAUACCCAGCUAUUUUUUUAAAAAUACAUUUUUGUUGAGGCUGGGUCCCCUUUGUUGUCCAGGCUGGUCUUAAGCUCCUGGCCUCAAGCAAUCCUUCCACUUCUACCUCCCAAAGUGUUGAGAUUAGAGGUGUGAGCCACUCCACCUGACCCAAAGGUUAACUAUUAUUAUUGUUAUUAUUAGUCUGUUUUUUUCCAUUCAUUUCCUCAUUAGUCAACUUUUAUUGUUUCAAUGUUAUUUUAUUGUUUUUCAAAGACUCCUUAUAGUCACAAUAUGUACAUAAUAAAUUUUACCCUUUAAGGACACUGAGGUUCCAAAUGAAAAUGAUAUUUUUAAGGUGAAACAAUUAUAGAUAGAAAAACAACUUUUUUUUCUGUGAGUACUAGAUUUCAUAUUAUCCUUAAUGUCUUUCUAGGUAGUAACCAAGUGAUUUCUCAUAAACUGGAAAACAUUAUUCCCACUGAUAUUCUUAAAAACAUUUAGGAUUAAAAAAUGUAUUUUAAA
rnacentral:lncRNA from 1 species